GAGUUCCCGUCGUGGUGCAGUGGUUAACGAAUCCGACUAGGAACCAUGAGGUUGCAGGUUCGAUCCCUGGCCUUGCUCAGUGGGUUAAAGGAUCUGGUGUUGCCGUGAGCUGUGGUGUAGGUCGCAGACACAGCUCGGAUCCCGCGUUGCUGUGGCUCUGGCGUAGGCUGGCAGCUACAGCUCCGAUUAAACCCCUAGCCUGGGAACCUCCAUGUGCCAUGGGAGCCGCCCUAGAAAAGGCAAAAAGACAAAAUAAAUAAAUAAAUAAGUAAAUAUAAAUAAAUAAAUAUAAAUAUACUAAAAGCUCAGGUAGAAGGCAUGGGGAUUGAAUUUGAGACAUCAUGGCUCGACAAUUUUCUGGUUAGGGAUCAGAAAGCAACAGAAAACUUUUUGUAGUCCUUUUUGGAAAACUUUUCAAAAUUGAGAAAUUCAUUUUCUGACCAUUGCAUGGACUGAUGCAGUGGUAUCUCAAGCUAGAGAAGUAUACUCUAGGGGUUGCUUUAGGUGGACGUUGUCGAGUGUACAUAUAAGAAUAUCUAUAUUUAAUAAAAAAUAAUAAAUCUUUUAUUUAUGUAUAAUAACAAAAUACUAUAUAUAAUUGCAUAUGUAAACACAAUGUUGUCAUUCCUUAGUCUGUUUGAUGACAGUCACAGUGACCUCAUGUGAUAUUUCUGAGGUAUCCCAGAACAAAAGUAUGGAGGAAUGGACCAAAAUGCUCAUUUAUUAGUUUAAUUUCAACCUACUGCAAGAUAUUGCAGUUUACAUCUUGCCAGUUAGAUUUCUCAAUCACAUUAUCAACUUUUAAAAAAACUAACUCUUAUAAAAUGACUCAAAGAUGCCUACAAAAAAUAUUGAUGAUAUCACUAAUAAUGUAAGCAUGACUGAACAAGAAAUUGAGGGAUUCUUUGUCAACUAUACAUUAUUACUUUAAAUACAAAACAAAACAAAUCCAAAAACAUGAUGAUCUAAUUAGACCCACUAAAAUGUUAGCCUACAAAGUUCAAAGUUAACAAGACUUUGAUAUAUGAAUUUAUAUCCUGUAUGUAUAUCUCCUGCAGUAACAGUGAAUUUCACUUUGAAUAUGUUUUCUGUCUUAAGACAUUAGCUAAUUAUGACAUUGCAUGUGUAUAAUUUAUAAAUAAACAUACAUCUACUGAGAGGAUGUGUUCAAAGUAAGACAACACAGUGGAUUUUAUUAUCUACAAAGUUUGAAGACCACUAUCUUAAUACAACUUCUUACUGUAUUAGCAAUAUUUAUUUACAUGUCUGUUUUCUGUACUAAAUAUAAUUUCCUUGGGGAGAAAGACCAUAUCUUAUGUUUAUAUCUAAAAUAUGUAGCUUUUGGUUUUUCAGUGGUAGAUGCUCAAUUAAUAUCUGCUAAAUGGAAAUAGGAGAAUAUAGGAAGACAACAUUAAAAGGCAUCCUCAUUUCUAUUUCCGAAUAGACAAUUUUUUGUCAUUUGAGCUUGGAAAAUGCACUUUUAUGUUCCUUAUCUAGAAAGUGGGGUGAAUACUUCCUGUUCUUCCUAUCUCAAUGGUCUCUUGUGAAGCUCACAUGUAAAAAUAAAUAUAAAAUUUAAGGCCAUGUAGAGCUCUGAUAUAUUCAUACUAUUUUUCAAAUAUAAACUACUUUGGAAGCUUAGUAUCAUGAAAAACUAUGGAAAGAAAAUGACAGAAGGGAAAAAUAUUAACUAUGUCCUGAGAGUUCCCGUCGUGGCGCAGUGGUUAACGAAUCCAACUAGGAACUAUGAGGUUGCAGGUUCGGUCCCUGCCCUUGCUCAGUGGGUUAAGGAUCUGGCAUUGCCGUGAGCUGUGGUGUAGGUUGCAGACGCGGCUCGGAUCCCGCAUUGCUGUGGCUCUGGCGUAGGCCGGCGGCUACAGCUCUGAUUCGACCCCUAGCCUGGGAACCUCCAUAUGCCACGGGAGCGGCCCAAGAAAUAGCAAAAGGACAAAAAAACAAAAACAAAAAAAAACUAUGUCCUGAAAAUUAAAUACCUUUUAGUGUGUUUUGCCUUUGGGAUGCAACACUUCCCUCCAAUUGUUCAAACAAAUUCUUUAAAUGAAUGCAUUGUAAAUGGUACAGGGUUUUUGUUUUGUUUGAAAAGGAGAAAGAGGGAAAUGUAGACAUUGCUUAUUUCCAAAUACCUUGUAUAGUCUAAGGAAGUGGUGUCAGCAUUCCCUUUGUUCUUAUUUUAGUCAGUUCUACUUAAAAAGAACUCAGAGAUAAGAAAUGAAAAUGGAAAGCACAAAAAGGAAACCAUUGGGGUGGGUUCCCCUUUUGAUUUCAGACUAAUUUCCUGAGAAUGUGAAGCUAAUAGUCACAUGAGAAGGCAAGUGUGAUACUUCAUUUCUAUUUUGUUAACUAAGGUAACCAAAUAACCUUUUUUUUUUUCUAUGAGUAACUACAGCAGUUUAAUGAAAUCAGGGAGAUGUGGCACCUUGGAAGAAAGGAGUUCGGUAUUAAAAUCUCAGGUUUUUUUAUAGAUACGGACCCAAGGAGCAGAAAAAAAGGAGUGAGGUUUAUGUGGAGUGAGGCUGACCUAUCCUACUUGAUCAAAGUUAAGUUUCAUGAGCAAUCCAGGUGAGUUACUUCCUGGUUGUGCUCUAAUAUUACCUAUACCCACAAACCUCUUAUACUAUCUUCCCACUUCUCAAAUUAGUCUAUGAUUGCCUCCAUUUUGUUUUCACUUCCCUUCUGCUAUUCUCUUUUACUCCUUUUGCUUCUUCCAUGUGUGCUCUUGUCUGUUUAAGAAGAUACAUAUGUGAUUAUGUAUAUGAAUAGAUACAUCUAUGUAAAUGAUGAAGGACAACUUAUAAGCACUGAAUAAACGUUUUGAAAUAAAUGUAACAGUAAUUUGCAAUUGGAUAUUUUUCUUGCUGUUCUGUUUUCAACUAAAUGAUUUAACUGAUGAUUGAUACUUUCAAUAGUAUAUCAAAAUAGAGCAUGUCAUAGUGCCAGUAUACUACCUAUCCCUCAGUGAUUAUUCAACUCAUUCAUUUAGAACAUACUUAUUGAGACAAUGUAUGUCAGGUACUAGUUUUAGGUACUUGGGCAACAUCAGU
rnacentral:lncRNA from 1 species